rnacentral:rRNA from 1 species
GACGAACGCUGGCGGCGUGCCUAAUACAUGCAAGUAGGACGCAGUUGCGAACGGGUGAGUAACGCGUAGGUAACUACCUAUUAGAGGGGGAUAACUAUUGGAAACGAUAGCUAAUACCGCAUACUAGUAGAUUGACCUGCUUUGUAAUAGCUAGUAGGUAGGGGAAUGGCCUACCUAGGCAACGGUACAUAGCCGGACUGAGAGGGUGGUCGGGCAAACUGGGAACGGGUCACGGCCCAGACUCCUACGGGAGGCAGCAGGAGGGAAUCUUCGGAAAUGGGGGGAACCCUGACCGAGCAACGCCGCGUGAGUGAAGAAGGUUUUCUGAUCGGAAAGCUCUGUUGUUAAGGAAGCGGUACUUAACCAGAAAGGGACGGCUAACUCCGUGCCAGCAGCCGCGGUAAUUC